UACGAACUGUGCGAGCGUUAUUCGGAAUCACUGGGCUUACAGGGCGCGUAGGCGGCUCAACAAGUCAGGUGUGAAAGCCCCCGGCUCAACCGGGGAACUGCGCUUGAAACUGUUAGGCUCGAGUCAGCUAGAGGUACACGGAACUUCCAGUGGAGCGGUGAAAUGUGUUGAUAUUGGAAGGAACACCGGAGGCGAAAGCGGUGUACUGGGGCUGGUCUGACGCUGAGGCGCGAAAGCCAGGGGAGCGAACGGG
rnacentral:rRNA from 1 species